GAUGAAGAACGCAGCGAAAUGCGAUACUUGGUGUGAAUUGCAGAAUCCCGUGAACCAUCGAGUCUUUGAACGCAAGUUGCGCCCGAAGCCACUAGGCCGAGGGCACGCCUGCUUGGGCGUCACACGCCGUUGCCCCCCCAUCUACUCCUUCGGGAUUGCGGGGGGCGGAUGAUGGCCUCCUGUGCGCCUAGCCGCGCGGUUGGCAUAAAUACCAAGUCCUCGGCGACGCACGCCACGACAAUCGGUGGUUGCGAAACCUCGGUUGCCCGUCGUGUGCGUUCGUCGCGCAUCGAGGGCUCGAAAAAAUGCUCGGCUCCGGCUGGGCUUUCAACGCGACCCCAGGUCAGGCGGGGUUACCCGCUGAAUUUAAGCAUAUCAAUAAGCGGAGGA
rnacentral:misc_RNA from 1 species